rnacentral:rRNA from 1 species
UACGAAGGGUGCAAGCGUUACUCGGAAUUACUGGGCGUAAAGCGUGCGUAGGUGGUUUGUUAAGUCUGAUGUGAAAGCCCUGGGCUCAACCUGGGAAUUGCAUUGGAUACUGGCAGGCUAGAGUGCGGUAGAGGAUGGCGGAAUUCCCGGUGUAGAGGUGAAAUUCGUAGAUAUUGGGAAGAACACCGAUGGCGAAGGCAGCCAUCUGGACCGACACUGACGCUGAGGCGCGAAAGCGUGGGGAGCAAACAGG